GAUGGUCCAGAUUAAAUCAAAAUGGACGGCUGAGAUCAAAAGGCAAAAGGGUAUAAAUAAGACCCCCACACCAGACCCCAAACCCUAGCCGCCUGCCCUCGCCGGAGAAGAUGAACCAGAAGCUGGCCGCCGCCACCCGCCGCCGCACCGGAGGGAUUUUCGACCGCCGAUCGAGGUAAAUUUCAUACCCCCGACUCGUUUUUCCACGCUGAUUUCCCC
rnacentral:lncRNA from 1 species